GUGGGAUCUUCCCGGACCGGGGCACGAACCCAUGUCCCCUGCAUCGGCAGGCGGACUCCCAACCACUGCGCCACCAGGGAAGCCCGAGGAUAUUUCUUGUAGAUCUUUACAAGGCGGUACAUAAAGAAGUGCCUCGCUCUUGUUCGUAGCUGUAUAGUAUUCCGUUGUAUGGAUGAACCGUUUAUCCUAUCAUAUGGAAGGACCAGAACUGGGCAUGUUUUCAAGUGAUUGGAUGAAUCAAAUUACGUAUGAUGGUUUGUUCUUCCAUGACAAACAUUUUUUUGAGUGUUUACUGUGUGCUUGUGCCUGUGAGGAAUCUGAGAGCAAUAACUUCAUCAGGGAGGUACUUUGAUGCAGUGGGGGAGGGGCUGCAGCUUCAGAUCCACACUCUGUGAAAUGGGUUGUUGUGUUAUCUAGAGAAAUAACCGACACGAAGCCCCUAAAACAGUAUUUUGACGUAGGCACCCAACAUGUGAUAUCACCUGCUACCAUUUCUUAUAUAACCAUGUCCCAGAGGCUCGAGAGGUGCAGGGUGUUUUGUAAAUACGAGUCCCAUCUUCCUUGAAAAAUCACUUAUGUGGUCCAACAGCUCCAUUUUGGAGAUUCACAGUCCUCUUUAAUGCACCAAAGGCUCUGAUAAAUCCUGCAGUAAAGAAACUUUUGUUUAACCCACUGUUGUGAGAAAUGCUGGCUUUGGUUGACACAUCAGAGAUCAGACAAACAUCACAAAAAAACAGGUUUGUGUCAACUUUUCAAUGAGUGAUGCCUCUCUUAGGUGUAACCUCUUGUCUUGUUCUUUUGACUCUGAAGGUUUUCCUCCGUUUUGGACUUGAAGACAGUGCAAUAGUCUCUGUCUGAUCACUACACACGAUCUCUGGGGGAGGCCCCAGCCGUCCGCUGUCAGGCCUGGACUCACCCCAUGAGGCACCAGGGUACAGUAUGCAAAUUAAAUAGCACCCGGUAUGUGACUUAAGUAGCACCCCACCAAGAGACCUCCCUCCCAUGGAAAACCGGACCUACCCUGGGUCUUUCAUGAGAACAUUUUUACCCUGGGGCUGCCCGAGGUUUAGCUUCUGGAGUUACAGUAUAAAAGGGAAUGGCUUUAAAAACCUCAAUGCAACUUCUUGGGUGAUGGAAAUGUUUUAAAACUGGAUAGUGGCAAUGAUGACGGGACUCCAAAAGUUACUGAAAGCCACAGCACUGGGUACGUGCAGUGGGUGACUUUGGUGGUAUGGAAGUUAUACCUUUAUAAAGUUGUUUUUAUAAAAGAAGGCAAAAAGAGAAAGACCCAACAAUCUCUAGUCCUGAGUCUGUGGAAGGGGUCGUGUUUCCUCUGCAAGUUACACAUGGGCUUUUCACAGGGCAGAACAUGUGCCAUGCCACAGGUGGGCUGGAGAGGGCGUUCCGGAGUUUCUCCUGCAAAUGGAUGAAUUCAUGGCUUAGGUGGUGGGAGCUUCUGCCCACGUAGAGCUGACCAGAUCAAAUGUCCACCCCCAAAGGGCAUGAUCACCUCGCAGCCAGAAGCACUUUGGCCAGCUGCUUGCGCUGUGAUUUGUGGUUGACUUUGCUGGGUGGUGGUUUCUGAGGAAGGACAAUUACACUGAUUGAGCCUUUCAGGAAAUGGUCCCUGAAGAGAGGUAAGAAGACCUUAAUUAUGGCCCUGGCUGCCAAUUAGAGUGAGAUCCCGAGUUUAUGAAUCCAAGAAAGUCUCACCAGACUUCUGCUGCUCCUUGGCUUUUAGCUCCAGAACAUGUACAAGGGAAGAUGGGUUCUAGAAUUUACGGUAUCGGCUCCCAACUUUGUCUGUAGUUUCUUUUGAAAUCAUUUAGCUGCUUGUCCUUAAAGAAUUUCUAACUGUGAUGUAGGAGAAGAGUUUCCAGUUUAUGUUCUCUUAAAGGGACUCAAAUUUCUCCCUUCCUUUCUCCCUCUUACGAACCCACUUACGUUUCUAGACACCUACUGUGUGCCAGGCCCAGUGUGGGCACAGGGAUGCACCCUGGAAACCAGACAGGCUCUUUCUCACCUCCGUGGAGAUUCUAGCCCAGUGAGGAUAUAUAGCCCACACCAGCCCCUGCCCUCCCUCUGCCCUUUGCCGUGUGACCUGUGACAAGGGGCGGACCCUGCCCCACUCAUGGCAAAGCGCUCAGACUGUUCUGCCUGACCCUGGAAUUUUGAAAUCACGUUUCAGUAAGUCUCUAUGGACCCCACUCUAUCGUUUCUGCAUUUAUAAGAUAUUUAUUGAGCACCUACUAUGUGCCAGCUCAUUUAUAGCAUAUGCUGAUGAAUCAGGUAAACCUGGUCUCUGCCACAGAGGUGAUGGUCUAGCGAUGACAAUUGUCACCGGUGCCCUUUGCCCCCAUGGGAUCCUCCCAGUGACUCAUCUCAGGGGUGGGCACCAUCUUGUUUCCAUUUCACAGGCGCCGUCAUCAAACGGUGGGUGGGAGCCGGCGUCCCACCAGCCCAGCCUCCUGUCGCUUCCAUCUGGUUGCUGACCACCGACUUGUAGUCCCUGAACCUCAGCAGCUGAGGCCGAGGGUGAUCUGUGUGGACGCCACCCUCCAACCCCCACUCAGAAAAGCUGGAGAACCCUCCUGCAUUUCAAGGUCAUUUCCAUAAGAAGUGAAAAUCCGAUCUGAGCUGGCCCUGCCUAGUGAUUUACAAUUCCCCAAACAGGGCGGUCCCACCUAGUCUUGUUGUCUCCUUUCUGAUCCACUCAACCCUCUACCCCCACCACGCCCCACCUCAGUUCCUGUUUAUUGCUAUGGACUUGUGACAGCGAAGGGCCUCAAACAACAGAGAAAUGUAAUAAAAAAACCCCAAAACGUUAAGGAAUAUUAUGAUAGCGUCUAAAAGUUCACAUUGAACAAGCAGACUUUUUUUUAGACAGACAAACGCAAUGUAAUGUACUUGUAUCGUUCAAAAAUGGAUUGACUAAAAGGAGAGCUGUUAAGAGAAGGGAUCUGGAAUCGGGAUGAGCCUGGACCCAAUGCCUGCCUCUGUCACAUCAUAGCUGUGCCACUUGGGGACAGAAGAGGAGAAAACACAGACACAUGAAGAGGAGGAGGUCCUGUGGCCAUGGAGACGGAGAUUGGGGUGAUGCAGCCACAAGCCAAGAACAUCUGGAUACACCAGAAGCUGCAAGUGGCACGGAGGGAUCCUCCCCUAGAGCCGUCAGAGGGAGCACAGCCCUGCCGACACCUUGAUCUCAGACUUCUGGGCUCCAAAACGUCCGUUGUGUUAAGCUGCCCAGUUUAUGUUAAUUUCCUGAGCCGCCCCAGGAAACCAAUAUGGUGUGAAAAUGGUAGGAGUGACAGGAUAGCAGUUACAUUGCCUCAAAGUACCUUCUCACAGGGGGAACGUAACUUGACGGUGGAGAUGCCCGGCCGAUACCACUUUGACCGAGGGACCAAAGUUAACCUCGCCCGUAAUGUCACCUUACCCAAGGAGGGUCCUCCUGCCCGGUGUUGCUGGAGCCAAUAGAAUGAGACCGAGUUCAGUUCAGAAGCCAAGGAAAGUUUUAUUCUUUGACCAAAGCAUGGAGAGGACUGAACCCAUGCUCUAGAGCACAGGCUCCCCUCGACCCGACCCAGGCCGUGGGCGGGGCUGCUUCCUAGGGAUCUCUGCGCGCGGAGGGGCGGGGGCGGGGCUUCUGCGCGGCCCGCAGAGCUGAGCGGCCAGGCGCCUGCGCAGCCCUCUUGCGCAAGGAACCCUGGUCUGAAGGGGUGGGCGUCUGGCCUCUGCGUGACGCGCCGUGUGAGCCAGUGACAGCGGACGAAGCAGAAACGAGAAAAAAAGGUGACCCUGCCUCUCCAUGGCUACCUGGAACAGUGCUUGGCUACAUGACCCAGAGGACACCAGUUGGAGCUUCUUUCCCUGGAAUUUGGAAUUUGAACUGGGAAAGAUGCUGUGGGACCAGGGCUCACCUGACUUGUCCAGUGCACUCUGGGGCUGUGUCUGCGCCCUGCAUGACUGCCACAGGGGAAGUGGACUCUCAGAGAGGGGGUAAAGCAGCGUUCCUGGACAGAGGAGCAGGGAUGUCCGGCUCAACGGAGCAGAUUGAGCCCCCGCGGUUGUCACCACUCCCUCCACAAAGCUCGCUAACAGGGCAGCACAGGAAUGAAGAGGCAUUCCCAGGACAGACCAGAGAGGAGACGGCACGAGAGACCUCAGAGUGAUUGGAAGCAGGAGAGCCAAUGGACAGAUGGCAACUGGCAGAGAAUUCCAUGAAGUUCUAAGUCUGGGGCAGCGGAGAGAGUGAGCACAUUCCUGCCAGAGAGCCCCAGGAAUGGUAAAAAAUGGGAGAUAUCAGGGACUCCCUGGGGUGAGAAGGAAAAAUGGAGGAUUGGUGGACAGAUUUUACAAGGACAGACUUUAGACCCAAGAUCUUCGCCAUCACUUAGUGCAGCUGGGCAUCUGCCCCUUCCCAUCCCAGACGAGAGGUUUCCUUUGUUUAAUUUCUUUAUUUAUUAUAUUUUUGGCCGCUUCGCAGCGGCAUGUGGGAUUCCCCAACCAGGGAUCGAACCCAUGCCCCCUGCAUUGGAAGGGUGGAGUCUUAACCACUGGACCGCCAGGGAAGUUCCAAGAGGUUUCCUUUGAAGGUUGGCACUAGAGGACCUAGACCCACAGAUCCCAACCUAACCAGGGCCGCAGGUCAUGCACUGAAAACAGGGAGUUUGCAGGAAUGUUUAUUUAUGGAGCACUGAAAUGUUCAGUGUCUCCUCAACUCUGCUUCCAGAAUCCUAGCAGCCAGGGGCCAAUGUCUGGAGGGUUUUUCUCAGGUAGGGUUGGUUGACAGAUAAAAUGCGGUUGCCCAGUUAUUGUACAUUGAAUUUCAGAUAAGCGACAAACACUUGUUUGGUAUAAAUGUGCCUCAAAUGUUGCAAAUUUUUAUUGGUAAAAUCUGGCAGUGCUGUUCAGGAGAAACUAAGAGGCCAAGAGACAAGUCCUGGAGGUUUCCUCCCCAGCGAAGUGACUUGGGACCUUGGACCCCUACUGGGGUGCCUGUGGGUAGAUACUCUUUCCCUGUCCAGCAGCAUUUGAAUCUCACUCGUAAAUGUGAAGAAAUAGCCAAGAUCACCUGACGUUAGAGGGAAGGUUCCCAGAUGAAAGACAGUGAUGAACACCAACAGGAAAAGGAAUUCUGAGGAUGUAGGGACACUUCAGAGAGCAGAGAGCUUCAGAGAAGCAGAGAUAAGAGACGAGCCCCCAGGGUGACCCUUGCUGGCUUCCCAGUUUUCAGUUCCUACGGAGCCCCUGCCCUUCCCAUCCCUGGCUUCUGUAGUCCUCUAUCUGCCAAAGAGCCACCUGGGCGCUUAACAUGCUGUGAAUUUGCCUCCUUCCUUUCUGACCAAAGGGUUCUUCUGUCCUGAGGAAAAAUCACUCCCAUCCAGGAUGUGCCUGCCCUGGCCCCUCAUCUUGCUGACCGCAGGCAGCUUGGAGGAAGAGGUCUCCCCUGGGUUAGCAGUCGACCCAGUGUCUCUGCCAAGUGACCCUGGCAGCUGCAGCCUCCCCGUGCCCUCGGGGAACCAGGGCCAAGUCCUAAAGGCUCCAUCUGAGGCUGGCCCAGGUCCUGGCUGCCCUCUCCGCUUGCAGGGGAUGGAGCCCGUUGGCUCUGCUUCUCAAGUGGGAGCCGGGAGCCGACACUUGGUUUGUGCCCUCUCUCCUUCCCUGAACCAGGCAGAGCUCGUGCUCCUUUGCAUCUUCUCCUCUCCUCCCCUGUCCAAAAGCUCUGGGAGGGCUUUUUU